UACGGAGGAUCCAAGCGUUAUCCGGAAUCAUUGGGUUUAAAGGGUCCGUAGGACGGGCCUUAUAAGUCAGUGGUGAAAGCCCCAUCGCUACAACCGGAUGGAACCUGCCAUUGAUAACUGUAAGGCUUGAAUUAUUGUGAAGUAACUAGAAUAUGUAGUGUAGCGGUGAAAUGCUUAGAUAUUACAUGGAAUACCAAUUGCGAAGGCAGGUUACUAACAAUGGAUUGACGCUGAUGGACGAAAGCGUGGGGAGCGAACAGGAUUAGAUACCCCCGUAGU
rnacentral:rRNA from 1 species